rnacentral:rRNA from 1 species
GACGAACGCUGGCGGCGUGCCUAAUACAUGCAAGUUGAGCGCUGAAGGUUGGUACUUGUACCAACUGGAUGAGCAGCGAACGGGUGAGUAACGCGUGGGGAAUCUGCCUUUGAGCGGGGGACAACAUUUGGAAACGAAUGCUAAUACCGCAUAAAAACUUUAAACACAAGUUUUAAGUUUGAAAGAUGCAAUUGCAUCACUCAAAGAUGAUCCCGCGUUGUAUUAGCUAGUUGGUGAGGUAAAGGCUCACCAAGGCGAUGAUACAUAGCCGACCUGAGAGGGUGAUCGGCCAAAUUGGGAAUGAGACACGGCCCAAACUCCUACGGGAGGCAGCAGUAGGGAAUCUUCGGCAAUAGACGAAAGUCUGACCGAGCAACGCCGCGUGAGUGAAGAAGGUUUUCGGAUCGUAAAACUCUGUUGGUAGAGAAGAACGUUGGUGAGAGUGGAAAGCUCAUCAAGUGACGGUAACUACACAGAAAGGGACGGCUAACUACGUG